rnacentral:rRNA from 1 species
CUCCAGACUCCUACGGGAGGCAGCAGUGGGGAAUAUUGCACAAUGGGGGAAACCCUGAUGCAGCGACGCCGCGUGAGUGAAGAAGUAUUUCGGUAUGUAAAGCUCUAUCAGCAGGGAAGAAAAUGACGGUACCUGACUAAGAAGCCCCGGCUAACUACGUGCCAGCAGCCGCGGUAAUACGUAGGGGGCAAGCGUUAUCCGGAUUCACUGGGUGUAAAGGGAGCGUAGACGGCCAUGCAAGCCUGGAGUGAAAGCCCGGGGCCCAACCCCGGGACUGCUCUGGAAACUGUAUGACUUGAGUGCAGGAGAGGUAAGCGGAAUUCCUAGUGUAGCGGUGAAAUGCGUAGAUAUUAGGAGGAACACCAGUGGCGAAGGCGGCUUACUGGACUGUAACUGACGUUGAGGCUCGAAAGCGUGGGGAGCAAACAGGAUUAGAUACCCGCGUA